rnacentral:rRNA from 1 species
GACGAACGCUGGCGGCGUGCCUAAUACAUGCAAGUAGAACGCUGAAGGAGGAGCUUGCUUCUCUGGAUGAGUUGCGAACGGGUGAGUAACGCGUAGGUAACCUGCCUGGUAGCGGGGGAUAACUAUUGGAAACGAUAGCUAAUACCGCAUAGGAGUAGAUGUUGCAUGACAUUUGCUUAAAAGGUGCAAUUGCAUCACUACCAGAUGGACCUGCGUUGUAUUAGCUAGUUGGUGGGGUAACGGCUCACCAAGGCGACGAUACAUAGCCGACCUGAGAGGGUGAUCGGCCACACUGGGACUGAGACACGGCCCAGACUCCUACGGGAGGCAGCAGUAGGGAAUCUUCGGCAAUGGACGGAAGUCUGACCGAGCAACGCCGCGUGAGUGAAGAAGGUUUUCGGAUCGUAAAGCUCUGUUGUAAGAGAAGAACGAGUGUGAGAGUGGAAAGUUCACACUGUGACGGUAUCUUACCAGAAAGGGGCGGCUAACUACGUGCCAGCAGCCGCGGUAAUACGUAGGUGGCAAGCGUUAUCCGGAUUUAUUGGGCGUAAAGAGAGUGCAGGCGGUUUUCUAAGUCUGAUGUGAAAGCCUUCGGCUUAACCGGAGAAGUGCAUCGGAAACUGGAUAACUUGAGUGCAGAAGAGGGUAGUGGAACUCCAUGUGUAGCGGUGGAAUGCGUAGAUAUAUGGAAGAACACCAGUGGCGAAAGGCGGGCUACCUGGUCUGCAACUGACGCUGAGACUCUAAAGCAUGGGUAGCGAACAGG